AGAUUUCUUCGGGGCAGGGUGCAAUUCCCGACCGACGGUAACAACCUGAGUGUUGAAGUCCGUGACCCGCGUUUAGCGGUGGACCCAGUGUGAGUCUGGGACCGACAGUAUAGUCUGGAUGGGAGAAGAAAUAA
rfam:Lactobacillus saniviri JCM 17471 = DSM 24301 NODE_5, whole genome shotgun sequence.